ACCUUAAGAUUGCUUAAUCAUUUAUUUGAACGGGGGAACCAAUUCAUGGACUUUAACGAGCUCUAUGAUGGGGUGAAUCUUUUAUAAAGAAGGGGGACUUACACCUCCUAAUCCGUCAGCUAACCUCGUCAGCAUCUGUAAGAAGGGUC
rnacentral:sRNA from 2 species